CGUCAUUCCCUUCCGCAUCCAAGAACAAUCUGUUCUCAAGCUUCCCAGCUAUCCGCAAGUGAGGUCCCUCAUCCAAGUUAAUCCAGCUUUCCGUGAUUUCUCUCGUGCACUCCGGAUUGACCCCAGCCACGAAAACAGAACAGAGUUCAUCCUCUCCCCAUUCCGUGGAUCGCGUCCCAACAUCCUCAUCAUCCUCCGCUACUUCCCGAGCUUAUCCUCCCAAGAUAGAGCCGUAUCGACCGUUCGCAAGCAACUGUAUGCAUCUUCUUCGCAUCCAGCAUCAUCUUCUCAGCUCAUGCGUCUUCCCUGCAUGCAUCCCAUCGUCUCUUCAUCACGGAUCGAGCCAACCUGGACAUCUGUUCCCAACAUCCCGAGCUUCACGGAUCAUCUCUCAUCCUCCCGAGCUUCACGGCAUCCAAACACAUUCCCCUGUUCGGAACAAAGUUCCGGAUAAGCUCCAAUCCCAGCAUCCGGAUUAGCUCCAUCUCCUCUUCAUCAUGAAGCAGAUCCAGCUUCUUCCGGAUCACUCCACUGUCCGCGUAGGAUCCAGGUCCAUCCUCCCACGGAUAAGUUCCAGCUCCUCCCAGCCUCCGAGAUCCUCUCACAUCCAAGCUUCACUUUCCCUUCCGCAUCCAAAGAACAGAGCCGCCUCCAAGCUAACCUCUUCAAUCUCCCUCCGCAUUAAAACUGUGUCACCUUCUUCCGGAUCACUCCACUGUUCCACGUGUCCUUUUCCUUCCGGAUGAGAACCAACAACCGUGCACUACCAGCUGCUCCCCCUCGCGGAUUCAAAUCAAAAUCUUCCGGA
rnacentral:lncRNA from 1 species